CUACUACUCCCUCCGUCCGAAAAUACUUGUCAUUGAAAUGGAUGUAUCUAGAUGUAUUUUAGUUCUAGACACAUCCAUUUUGAUUACAAGUAAUUCCGGAUGGAUGGAGUAUUAU
rfam:Triticum aestivum genome assembly, contig: Triticum_aestivum_CS42_TGACv1_scaffold_499923_6BL